rnacentral:rRNA from 1 species
UACAGAGACCUCAAGCGUUAUCCGGAUUUAUUGGGCGUAAAGCGUCCGUAGGUGGUCUCACAAGUCUGGUGUUAAAGCUCAGAGCUUAACUCUGAAUCAGCACUGGAUACUGUAAGACUAGAGAGUGGGAGAGGCAAACGGAAUUGCAAGUGUAGUCGUAAUAAGCGUUGAUAUUUGCAAGAACACCAAAUGCGAAGGCAGUUUGCUAUAACACUUCUGACACUGAGGGACUAAAGCGUGGGGAGCAAACAGGAUUAGAAACCCCGGUAGUA